CCACGGCUCCGCUCCGCGCACCCCCUCUGCGCUGUCAGACAGCGCCAGGCGAUACCGUGUCCCCCGCUCCUCCCCACGCGCAAGAGUCGCCCUGCUCACCCCGCACCGCGAUGCUCGCCGCUCUGCUCCUCCCGCGUCGCGUCCACAUAUGCGAUGACCGGGAUCCAUGACCGCCGCCCCCACCUCGGCCUCUUCCUGUCCGUGUAGCCGGCCACUGCUUCUCCGCCACAGCUCGCCGCCUCCUCAACCACUGUUGUGCCACACAAUCCUACCGCGACGCAUCUGACUCAAGCUAGGACGUCUCACGGGAGCGGCGGCGGAAGCCAGUCCAAAUCCAACCGAGUCAUCUCGGCGACUCCACCAGUUCUCCAUCGCCCUUUUUUAGGCGUUCAAGUUCCUCCGAGAGGACGGCAAGCAGAGGAGAGAGGCGUUAGCCAAGUCGUCGCGGUCGCGGCCCGCGGGCCACUCGAGAGUGUUCCUGGUGAGUAGCACCACCACGGUGGGGAGCGGGGGAGGCAGCACUGGCGAUGGCAGGGUGCAGCUCGCCGACAACCUCGAUCUCGACGUCUAUGUGCAGUCCAAGUGCCAGACUAUGAACGAGAAGAGGUGUUGGAGCAUGCUUGUGGAAUGGGAACAUUGCAAAUGGGCGAAUAUGAAUCAAGUGUUUCUAUUGGGAAUGACACCUUUAGCAUUCGGGAGCCACCUGGUGUUUGCACUGGGAUAUGCCCAUUUAAUUUUCGUGCUAUGAUUCCCCUAUAGGUACCCAGAAGAACAAUGUUUAAAUCACAAACAAAUGACAAAAAUCUUUUAUUGGGUAUCAUUUCAAGAAAGUUCCCUCCUAAAAUUUAUUAGCCUAUUUUGGUCGGAUUUCUGCGAGCACAUGCUGUUUUAGCCUGUUUUGGUCCUUUUAGACCUUUGUAUUCUGCGCGCCUUCACUUUCAUCUGGUGAACUGGAUUACCUUCCCUCUCGAAUCCAGUUACAAGAGAGAUCGACAUUAAAAGGAACCUCAAGCUUUGUAUUUCAACAGGACCUUUAUAAACGAAUAACUUAAGUCGGCUAGAUUUCCUGAUGUGAAAACGAAGAACCAACAGAAACGGAUAUAAUGGGGCAUAAUGCUGGUCGCACACCAUUCAUAGACAUCUCAAACACAAGCAUUAUAGGUGAUCAAAAUGGAUCAAACUCGCUUGUACCAAUAGUCGAUGCUAAUGAAUGUAAGAGGCAAAGGGAUAAGGAAAGAUAUGCCACGAUGUCCAUUGAACAAAAGAAUGAGAAAAAUAGGAAGCGCCGUGAAGCACGUCAACGAAAUAAAGCACUACCCCUAAAGUCCGAGUCAUCUAGAGACAUUAAUACGAAUCAGACACGUGAGACGGUUAACGUUGAAAUAAGUCGAGAUGUGCAUCUUGGUUCAGGUCCUAUUAAAAACACUCCAUCGCCUGGUAAUUCUAUCGAACGAAAGAGGCAAAGGGAUAGAGAAAGGCGUGCAACAAUGUCGGUUGAACAAAGGAAUGAGUACAAUAACAAGCGUCGUCAAAUGCGUCAACGAAAUAAGGGACAAAAUGUGAUGCCCAAUGUUUCAGGAUGUGAUGAAACCCGUCAAAUUUAAAUUAAUAUGUAUGUUCAUAGACCUACUAUUGUAAAGUAAUUGUAUUCAUAUUUUGUAGAUGGCGACAAAAAAGUAAACGUGGAUCCAGAUGAUGAUAGCGACUGGCUGCAUCGGAACGAGACAUUCCAGUCAAACGACUAUGUCGCAACGACGGACCUUCUGCCACCAGCUUGUACCGGAAGGUUAUGUGUUUGUGCUGGGAGAUAACAACAACAAUAUCUUCAAGUACCAAUAAUCUGAAAAGAUGGUUCCCUACUGGUUCUGCAUAUAGGAAGCUGUGACAUACCAUGUAUUUGUAUCUGAAGAACUGUUUGACAUAUAUUUGGUUCCUGAUUCUACGAUCUGCUGCAAUUGACAUGCUUUUGGUUGAUUCAACUUUUCAUAUUGAGCUGCACAAGUGCAGCACAAGAUAUGGCCGCAUAUUUACAUUACAAAGGUGCAGCUUUGCUAACAGGAUCUGCACGAACCAGAAACCAUCAGGAAUAAGCAUCGCUGUCUGAGAAAUAUGGCACAGGCUUCAGACUGAAUGUUUGGCAUAGCCUGUGAUACAGCCUACAGCUUCAGCACGAGACCAAGGGGACUGUGAUCACUGGCAGAGGUGUCCGGAAUAAUAUAUGAAACAUGCACUCUUUCUGCGAUUGAUUCGGACACAAGAAAGUAAUCCAGGCGCCAACCUUCAAUCCAAUGAAUAAAUCAAAACAAGUGAAACGGUGAGAGUGAUCUUGACUUAUGCUGGAAUAACAAAUGGGUAUACCAAUUUUGAUCAGUGCUUGUGCAUGAUGGAUGUAACUCAGAAACCUUGCUAAAUUACAGAAGUUUCCAUGUAUUGUGGCACAAAUUGCU